GCCACUCUAGCUCAGUUGGUAGAGCAACUGAUUCGUAAUCAGUAGGUCGCCGGUUCGAUUCCGGCGAGUGGCUCCA
rnacentral:tRNA from 1 species